AGAAAAUGUACAUUCUCGCAGCUGUAUGCAUCGUCGGUACAGCUCUGUAUAUUGGUGUGGAGAUUACCGAGAAGAAAAAAAUGACUAAAAAUGAAAAGACCGAUACGCCUUAAACAAAAUUCCUUCCAUAAGCGAGUAAAGAUAACGUAAUUCACAUGUUUAUCAAAGCUUUAACGUCAGCUUUUUGGGGUUGCAUUUUAUUAAUAUGAAAAAAAAUGAGGAAAUUUAAGCAUUUUGCAUACUAAACUAUUAUAUUGUACAUAUAAGAUCAAACGCCAUGUUGUAGCAUUAACGUGCAUAUUUAUAUGUCUCAGUGUGUUUAAUGUUUUCAUUAUCUCACAGAACCAUGCAUUGCAUAGUUGGUGCCAUAUCAUUGUUUUGCUGAUCAUGAAAGCAGAACCUUAAGUUUAUUUUUUUUUGCUAUAGAGUGAUUGUCUUAUUUCACUGGCAAAAUUAACUUCAAUCUCUGCAUUUAUCAAUGAGAGGUUUAGAAGUACUACAUGUAGAAUAUUAUUUCUACGCGAGUGUUUUCGUUGAAUAUUUUUGGCAGGAUACUUUGCAAUUAUGUUUGUUCUAACAAUCAGGAGGUUUUUAUCAUUGAAAAAUUUAACAAGUUUACAAAAUUAAAAAAACAAGAAAAAUGUAAUAUAAUAUUAUGAAAGCUUACGGUUAGAAACUUUCCAUUGAUUUAAGAUUUGUCUUUAAACAUAUAUCAAUUAUUUCAAGUAAUCCUGUGCCAAAAAUGUUCAAUAGGGCAUUACUAUGUAAUGUUAUUUCAGCAUAUCCAUUUCUGUGAAAUAUAGAAUAUGAGAAAGGAAAAGAAUGCUGACACGCAUUACUGGCUUCUUUAAUUAGCUUGAACAAACGAAUCGUUUGACAGCAUUUGACAGUUGUAAUUGCUCGCAGGCUUUUUAUCUAUCAUACUGAUAUAAUGUAGAAAGAGUGUCAAAUUAUGUGCAUUUUAUUUUUAUACCAGUUUCAUGACCUGUAAAUAUUAUCAAUAAAUGCAUUCAUCUCGGAAAAAAUAAAAAAAUGUACCUGCACGUGAU
rnacentral:misc_RNA from 1 species